CAAACUCGACCGCGGCGUAACAUGCAGAGAAUUUCACUGAGUAGCAGUCAAGCUUCUCAGCAGCAUCAGUCAAUUCCAAACCAGUUCCUGAGCCACAAUCGCGGCAACAACCGUCACUGAUAGUACCACCACCAGCGACACCAGCUCCACCAUCAAAUUUAACAUCCGCCGGAAGCAUUCUCUCGCAUCAUUACUCGCUUUCCAGUAGAAGACCAUUUGAACGAAUUCCCAGCAGCAGACGUCACUCGCUUCUACCAGAGCCCAGAAAAAAUUUGCACUUCGAUUAGAGCCAGUGGUCUAGUGUAUUUCUCACCAUUCGGCGGAUUUGGACAGUAGGUACCGAAUUAUCGAAUAACUUGCCUGAGAGGAUAACGAGAACGCGAGUAAUGGAGGCUUUGAUUUGGAAGGAUCUGACGACGAUUGCGUAUCCGGACCCACUUAGUAAAAUGGAAGAGGGAUGGAGAUGUUCACUGCGAUUUUUCAUCUUCCAAAGAGCGAUCUUUGACAGCUUGUCAAAGUCCAGCAGAAGCAAAGGCAGAUACCAUAUCGUCGAAGGCUCAGGUGGAGGUGCUGCCGCAGCAAAACAGUCAUCGCUACGGACAGACAAGUGCUGUUAAAAGAGGUUCGUUUCGAUUAUUACCGGAAGUGGGGGCAACGCAUGUUUAUCGCCAUGGUGUGAACGACGUAGCGAUACGUUGAUUACGUGUUCAGGAUUUUCACCAGAGGGUAACCGAGAUUUACCCUGAAGUUCAUUGAAAUGAAUUAUUGGCAGAAAGGCAAUAAAAUGUUAUUGCCAACGUCAGUCAACGGUACCAACAUUGCAAA